ACAGAGGAGCCUGGCAAGCUACAGCCCAUGCAGUCACAAAGAGUCAGACACUACUGAGCGACUAACACUUUCACAUAAUGUGCUAAAAAAAUAGCAUAGAGAUAAGAAUGUACUCUCUGCUUGGGGUUGAGUGGGGCAAUAAGAAAAGCAAACAAGCACCGUAACGUGUUAAAGGGCCGUUGGUAUGUGACGCACGGUGGAAAGUGAACACUUGUACCUGUGUACACAAGGAGACCUUCGGGACAGUCACCGCUGCACUGUGUGUACAGCAAACAGCCAGGAUGUCCAUCCACAGGGGAAUAAGGAGAAAAGUUGUGCUGUGUCAUCUACUGAAAUACUCUGCAGCAUUCACCAUGCAUGAACCAGAGCUUCCUGUAUCAAUAUGGGUGACCUGGUAAGCACAAUGUGGAAGGAAAAAAGUUACAAACACAGACAGUGAACUUGCUUUCUGUAAAUUUACAAAACAGUUCCAUAGAAUGCAGGCUUAUGUAGUCAAAGUGUAAACAUAGUCUGGAGACAUUGGGUUCAGAACAGAGGUUUUCUCUGGGGAGACAAGGAAGAGAGGUGGGUCUGGAGAGUCUGAGAGGUGUGUUAGGCUGUUAGGAUCUUUAACGACAUUUGGAAAACGUUGAUUCUAAAAAUACAAACGAAAUAUGGUUUCCCUGAUGGCUCAGACGGUAAGGAAUCUGCUGCCUGCAAUUCAGGAGACCGAGGUUCAAUUCCUGGGUCAGGAAGAUUCCCUGGAGAAGGGAAUGGCAACCCAUUCCAGUAUUAUUGCCUGGAGAAUUCCAUGGACAUAGGAGCCUGGCGGGCUACAGUCCAUGGGGUCACAAAGAAUAGGACGUGACUGAGCGACUAACGUAACACAUGACAAAAUAUCAGUGCUGAUUAGCUGAGAGGUUGGAGUUUUGUUAUAGUUCUCUCCCUCGAUACGUAUAUAUAUGAAUGUAUAUAGAUAGAUAUAGAUAUGCAUACAUUUGAAAUAUGACUGAAGCUAUAGAGUCAGGGCAUCUUCACGGAGAACUCAGGUAAAGCGACAGGGAGGCCCAGCCCAUAGAGUUGUGACUCAGAAGAAGUGAGCAAAGACUUUGGGAAAAACACAUUUUUAAGGGAGAAGGUACAGAAAGA
ensembl:lncRNA